ensembl:lncRNA
GGCGCUUCGGGGCAAGGGACGGAUACAUGAACCGUGACCAGAGUGCCUCUCUUUAAGGACUUGUUCUGGUCCUGAGAACUGAGUUCUGGGGGGGCCCAGGGGCGGCUAGAAAGUCGGCCUGCAGCAGGAGGGUGGCACGUGAGCUGGACUUCGCAGGCUCAGGCUGAUGGGAGAGACCAGUAAGGGCCGGGAGCGUGACGCCGAGGUCAUCUGCGUGGCCGGCCUGUGGGAAGCUGGGGACGCUGGGGGAGCGGGAGGACAUGAUACUGGACAGGAAGGGCGAGGCCAGACUGUGAGGCCUCUGGGGGUCUUGCCAAGGCGGCUGCCCCCCUCUGAAGAUCUGUGGACCGGAAGCGCCAGCCUCUCCUCUCUUCUCAGAUCCCAGGAUGCCGCUGAAGGAACGUAAGUUUCUUUUUCUUUUUGUUCUCAAAAGGGGUGAUUCCAGGCACCAGGACAAGCUGGUAGGUGAUAUUUGGUGGACGUCCAAGCCUUUGUUACCUCUCGUGGGCUGCGUAAUCCCUGCUUGGCCAUUGUCUCUGAGAGGCGUGCUCUGGGAAGCCCAUUCCUUCCUGAGUUCCUUAGUGUUCUUGCCUCUGCUUUCUCGGGACUCAUCAGAGUCGGCCUCCUCCAGGAUGCCUGCCUGGGCUAAGGCAAUGACAGACAACUGACUCCAUCUACUUCGAGUCAAGCUAAGCUCUCUUCCUCUCAGAAGAGAAGAGUGUGGUAAUGAGGGACCUACACUCUGGGGCAAGAGGGGUGGCGGGGGGGCUUCCAAUCCAAACUGCUGCUCAGUAGCUAUGUGAACUUGGAUAAGUGACUGAACAUGGGAUGCCUCAGUUUCCUCGUAUGUGAAAUGGAGAUCAUACCUGUAUCUACUAGCCGUGCGGAUGCCAACAGCCCGUGCCCACUGUGAUCUGCCUUGUGCUCACACCACCACAUCCCGGCCAUGGAAUGGGUUGUGUGUCUGCAAUGGCCCCAGGUGGUGUAUGCCGCCUUUGUCUUCCAGGGCUUCGGAAAGGCAGCUCAAACGACAUGCGGGCCUCCCUCAUGCUGACGAGUGCUGUGGACAAUUCGGAUGACAGUCAGCCACUGCGCCCAAGGGAGCUCCGCGCUCAGAAGCUCCCUGUCAGAUGCCAGGGGACAUGGCACCUUCCUUGUGGGGUCUCACUCUUCCUGCUCGAUCUCUCCAGCAGCCGUGUAUUGCUCCUGCAGUGUGGAGGGAGCAAAGCCAGCUCUGCAGCUGCCGUAGAUCUGCUCUUUCCCAAGAGGCUGCCUUAGCAAGAAUGCCAUGUCUGCUGGGAAACUGCAUCUGGAAUACUGAUUUGAGAUGGGGCCCCUGCACAUCAGAAGGACCUGGAAAAAAGAGGGAGAGAUAACUCAGAGGUGAACAAGCAGAGACUUCCACACCAGGCUGCGGGGAGAAUAGGGGCUCCCCCGCCCUACCUCAUGUUCUGGACUUGCCUUUCCUUCCAUCACAGAAAUGUCUGGAGAAUAACCUGUCAUUGCCAUGUCAUAAGUGAGCAAAAUAACUCCUUCCUGUCCGGAAAUCUGGAGAGAAAUGAUACCGCCUGUAAAAGUUCUCUGUAGAGUUAUUGGCAUGUUUUUG